CUGGGUGACAGAGUGAGACUCUGUCUCAAAAACAAAAACAAAAAGCAAAGCCCUAGAUUUUAUUUCAACUCAUCUAACAUGACUUCCCUUGAGCAUUUUGUUUUGAGGCUAAAAAACAUGAACAUGAGCAUCUCAAUUAAAGUGCCCUUGAAAAGGUUUAUUGGCAGAUUGCUUUCAUCUUGACCAUAACGAAUCACAGAAAAGGGAAAACAAGACAAGGAGUGGCCCGAAGUACCCUUUGAAACACUGCAUUUGGUGAAACUGGCACAGAGUAGCUUUUAAGAAUGCAUUCUGUUCUUGCAAGCCAGCCUGGGGUCUAAGUGAAAUAGAACCUGCAAUACAAUAAAGGAGAUGCCUGUAAAAGAUUCGUACCAUGGAGCGGGGAUGGGAGAAAUUGACUGAUGAAAACCCCACAUUUCUGUAGUCAAGUCUUUACAUGGAGUUGUCUGACGUGCAACCUAAGGUGGUAUCACAUUCGUAGACUUCUCUUCCUCUCCACUCCCCUCCCCUCCAUUCAUUUCCUCCCUCCCUCCCUCUCUUCCUCCCUUCCUCCUUUCCUUCUUUCCUUUUUUUCUUUCCUAUUUCAAAUAUUUAUUGAGCUCAUACUACAUGCUAAUUACUAGGUGCUGAGGUUUCAACAGUGAACACAAUCCCCACUACGGGGGGACCUAUAUGCAAGUGGGAGAGACAAUCAACAAAUAAAUCAAUACAUAUAUAUAAUAAUAGUUUAAGUCAUGAUAAGCACUGUGGUGAAAACAUAAGGUGAGGCAAGUGGCUAGAGAGUGAUGACACAUGCCCUUUUGGAUAGGAGGAGCCAGGAAGACCUCUCUGAUGAGGGCAUAUUUGAGCAGACACCCCAGAGAAUUAGGAGACCCAGCCACAUGAAUUUGUGAAGAAAGGGUACUCCGCAAAAGGGAAACAAGGAAUGCAAAGGCCCCGAGGCAGGAGCACGCUUGUCGUUUUCAAGCAACUGCAGAGAAACGAGUGCAGCCAGAGCGGGUUGAGCAAUGGUAAGAGUGGAGGAAACAAGGCUGUAGAGUGGGCUGGGGGUAAAAUCAAGCCUUACAAGGGAAGGAGCCUGCACUUUAUUCUAAAUACCAUGGAUCCCACUGUAGGGUUUGAAGCAAUAGUGUGACAUCAUCUGACUUGCUUUUCUACAAGAUCGCUCUGACACAGUGAGGAGAGUGGACCAACGUAGACAAAAAUUAAAGCAGGGCGACCAGAAAGGUGGUUAUUGCAGUCAUCUAAGCAAGAGUAAGGGUGACUCAGGAGCUUGCCCGCCACAGGGACUCUCCAGUGCUUUUGGGGUAGUAUUGACCUAUUCUAUGUGCUAAACAUUUUCCCUGUAUUAGCUCCUCUUCACCUCUCAAUCAGGUCCAUACUCUUGAAGGAUGUCUGCAAGCAAUUCCUCUGUCUCCCUUACACACAUACUGCCUCUUCCUACCAACAGCCUCUUUGCUCUUCUCUUGAAUCUGAGAUGCCUUUGUGACUUGCUUUGGCCACGAGAGUGUGGCAGAAACAACACUAUGUCAUUUUCAGACCUGUUCUUUAAGAAGCCUGGGAGGUUUCAUAUUCUCUCCGGGGAAGCCAGGCCCCAUGUAAAGAUGGCCCCACCCAAAUCUCAUCUUGGACUGUAGCUCCCAUAAUUCCCAUGUAUUGUGGGAGGGACCCAGGCUGGACUCCUGAAUGAUGAGACACCAGUGGAGAGAGAGCAAGAGGCCACAUGGGAAAGCACCGGCCAAGGUGGAGAAGCUUUCUUAGCAUGCAUCCCUCCUAGCUGCUACUGAAUACAGCUGAGUGAGUGAUCUCUGCUGAUGCCACUAGAACAAAGAACUACCCAUCUGAACCCUGCCUGAGUUCUUGACCCACAGAAUGACAAGUCUGCUGUUCCCUGUUAUAGAUGAUGUCUCAUGGGACUGAGUAACGGGCUAAGAUUGCCCAAUCGGAGGCUGUUCCAUGUCAUCCUCCCUCAAAAACGUUAGAUAAUGGUGCCUCCACCAUGUGGAACAUCAAGGUUGGUUGUGUUGGGGCAAAGGGAGCAGUGGAUAAUUUCACACUGGGGAUUAAAACUUCCACCCAGAAAUGACACAUUACUCCUUGAUAUGAUUUGGUUGUGUCCCCACCCAAAUCUCAUGUUGGAUUGUAGCUCCCAUAAUUCCCAUGUAUUGUGGGAGGCACCCAGUGGGAGGAAACUGAAUAAUGAGGGUGGGUCUUUCCCAUGCUGUUCUCGUGGUAGUGAAUAAGUCUCGUGAGAGCUAAUGGUUUCAUAAAAGGGAGUUCUCCUGCAUAAACUCUCUUGCCUGCCGCCGUGUAAGACAUGACUUUGCUCCUCAUUCACCUUCUGUCAUAAUUGU
rnacentral:lncRNA from 1 species